AUACGGAGGGGGUUAGCGUUGUUCGGAAUUACUGGGCGUAAAGCGCACGUAGGGGGACUGGAAAGUUGGGGGUGAAAUCCCGGGGCUCAACCCCGGAACUGCCUCCAAAACUUCCAAUCUAGAGAUCGAGAGAGGUGAGUGGAAUUCCAAGUGUAGAGGUGAAAUUCGUAGAUAUUUGGAGGAACACCAGUGGCGAAGGCGGCUCACUGGCUCGAUACUGACGCUGAGGUACGAAAGCGUGGGGAGCAAACAGGAUUAGAAACCCUAGUAGUCC
rnacentral:rRNA from 1 species